GACGAACGCUGGCGGCGUGCUUAACACAUGCAAGUCGAACGAAGAGCGAUGGAAGCUUGCUUCUAUCAAUCUUAGUGGCGAACGGGUGAGUAACGCGUAAUCAACCUGCCCUUCAGAGGGGGACAACAGUUGGAAACGACUGCUAAUACCGCAUACGAUCCAAUCUCGGCAUCGGGACUGGAUGAAAGGUGGCCUCUAUUUAUAAGCUAUCACUGAAGGAGGGGAUUGCGUCUGAUUAGCUAGUUGGAGGGGUAACGGCCCACCAAGGCGAUGAUCAGUAGCCGGUCUGAGAGGAUGAACGGCCACAUUGGGACUGAGACACGGCCCAGACUCCUACGGGAGGCAGCAGUGGGGAAUCUUCCGCAAUGGACGAAAGUCUGACGGAGCAACGCCGCGUGAGUGAUGACGGCCUUCGGGCUGUAAAGCUCUGUUAAUCGGGACGAAUGGUUCUUGUGCGAAUAGUGCGAGGAUUUGACGGUACCGGAAGAGAAAGCCACGGCUAACUACGUG
rnacentral:rRNA from 1 species